rnacentral:tRNA from 1 species
GGGCCUGUAGCUCAAUGGUUAGAGCAAGAGACUCAUAAUCUCGUGGUUCCAGGUUCGAGUCCUGGCAGGCCCACCA